rnacentral:rRNA from 1 species
GGACGAACGCUGGCGGCGUGCCUAACACAUGCAAGUCGAGCGAGGAGAUUCCUUCGGGAUGAUCCUAGCGGCGGACGGGUGAGUAACACGUGGGCAACCUGCCUCAUAGAGAGGAAUAGCCUUCCGAAAGGAGAUUAAUACCUCAUAACAUUGCAGUUUCGCAUGGAACAGCAAAUUAAAGGAAGUAAUCCGCUAUGAGAUGGGCCCGCGGCGCAUUAGCUAGUUGGUGAGGUAACGGCUCACCAAGGCGACGAUGCGUAGCCGACCUGAGAGGGUGAUCGGCCACAUUGGACUGAGACACGGCCCAGACUCCUACGGGAGGCAGCAGGUGGGGAAGUAUUGCACAAGUGGGGGAAACCCGUGAUGCAGCAAACCGCCGCGUGAGUGAUGACGGUCUUCGGAUUGUAAAGCUCUGUCUUCAGGGACGAUAAUGACGGUACCUGAGGAGGAAGCCACGGCUAACUACGUGCCAGCAGCUGC